AUAUCAAUAAGCGGAGGAAAAGAAACUAACAAGGAUUCCCCUAGUAACUGCGAGUGAAGCGGGAAAAGCUCAAAUUUAAAAUCUGGCGGUCUCCGGCUGUCCGAGUUGUAAUCUAGAGAAGUGUUAUCCGCGCUGGACCGUGUACAAGUCUCCUGGAAUGGAGCGUCAUAGAGGGUGAGAAUCCCGUCUGUGGCCCUUUGGCCUGCAUCCUUGUGUCGUUUCCUCGAAGAGUCGGGUUGCUUGGGAAUGCAGCUCAAAAUGGGUGGUAAAUGCCAUCUAAAGCUAAAUAUUGGCGAGAGACCGAUAGCGCACAAGUA
rnacentral:rRNA from 1 species